UCCAACAGUUGAAUGUCCUUUUUGUACUGUGGUGCCCAGAACUGCACACAGUACUCGAGGUGAGGCCGCACCAGCGCACAGUAGAGCAGGACAAUCACUUUCCUUGACUGACUAACAAUGCUGUGCUUGGUGCACCCCAGGAUACAACUGGCAAUAUG